rnacentral:misc_RNA from 1 species
GCCUAAGGCAGGGCUAGUGACUGGGGUGAAGUCGUAACAAGGUAGCCGUACCGGAAGGUGUGGCUGGAUCACCUCCUUAAAGGGAGACCUAAUUCGGGUAUGGGACGAAAAAAAAGUAGUCCCUACCAAGAAUCAAUCCCAAAAGGUCGGAGCGAGGCAAAAUUGGCUUUCAAACUAGGUUCUGGGUUCACACAAGACCUGAAUCAGGAACAAGGGCUAUUAGCUCAGGUGGUUAGAGCGCACCCCUGAUAAGGGUGAGGUCCCUGGUUCGAGUCCAGGAUGGCCCACCUGCACAGGUG